CCUACGGGAGGCAGCAGUGAGGAAUAUUGGUCAAUGGCAGUGAUCCUGAACCAGCCAAGCCGCGUGAGGGAAGACGGCCCUAUGGUUUGUAAACUUCUUUUGUCGGAGAAUAAAACUCUGCACGUGUGCCUGUCUGCGUGUACCCUAUGAAUAAGCAUCGGCUAACUCCGUGCCAGCAGCCGCGGUAAUACGGAGGAUGCGAGCGUUAUCCGGAUUUAUUGGGUUUAAAGGGUGCGUAGGUGGUCUGUUAAGUCAGCGGUAAAAUUUUGGGGCUCAACCCCGUCGUGCCGUUGAAACUGGCAGACUUGAGUUGGCGAGAAGUACGCGGAAUGCGCGGUGUAGCGGUGAAAUGCAUAGAUAUCGCGCAGAACUCCGAUUGCGAAGGCAGCGUAC
rnacentral:rRNA from 1 species